AGCAAUUAGCAUUUGCAAUCAUAAACUAGACGAUCAUAAUCAAUCAAAGUAAUUGACAAACAACAACACUAUGAAUUGAUAUACGUACAACUAUGGAGUUGUCACAUCUCUGCAAAACUACAACCAAAGUAAAUUCAAUUUAGUUUGCUUAUUUUAACUUCUGAUUGUCAGUAACUUACCAUAUAUACUCAACGCAUUCUUUCCCAUUGCCGCGGAAUUUGUACAAAUUUGACUAGUGAGGUUCGCUAAACUUCUUGAUGAUAGUAGUAUCGACAGAUUGUCAUCACCGUAUGUCUUGAAAUAAUUAGUUGGGUGUUUGCAUUCCCCAAUGAAAUAAAAAAUCUUCAAUAUUUAACUUUAUUUUUAUUAUUUAAAGUACAAAUUAC